UACGUAGGGGGCAAGCGUUGUCCGGAUUUAUUGGGCGUAAAGAGCGUGUAGGCGGUCAGGCAGGUCCGUUGUGAAAACUCGAGGCUCAACCUCGAGACGCCGAUGGAAACCAUCUGACUAGAGUCCGGAAGAGGAGAGUGGAAUUCCUGGUGUAGCGGUGAAAUGCGCAGAUAUCAGGAAGAACACCCGUGGCUAAGGCGGCUCUCUGGUACGGUACUGACGCUGAGACACGAAGGCGUGGGGAGCGAACAGG
rnacentral:rRNA from 1 species